UGGCUCAGGAUGAACGCUGGCGGCGUGCCUAAUACAUGCAAGUCGAGCGAAUGGAUUGAGAGCUUGCUCUCAAGAAGUUAGCGGCGGACGGGUGAGUAACACGUGGGUAACCUGCCCAUAAGACUGGGAUAACUCCGGGAAACCGGGGCUAAUACCGGAUAACAUUUUGAACUGCAUGGUUCGAAAUUGAAAGGCGGCUUCGGCUGUCACUUAUGGAUGGACCCGCGUCGCAUUAGCUAGUUGGUGAGGUAACGGCUCACCAAGGCAACGAUGCGUAGCCGACCUGAGAGGGUGAUCGGCCACACUGGGACUGAGACACGGCCCAGACUCCUACGGGAGGCAGCAGUAGGGAAUCUUCCGCAAUGGACGAAAGUCUGACGGAGCAACGCCGCGUGAGUGAUGAAGGCUUUCGGGUCGUAAAACUCUGUUGUUAGGGAAGAACAAGUGCUAGUUGAAUAAGCUGGCACCUGACGGUACCUACCAG
rnacentral:rRNA from 1 species